AACGAACGCUGGCGGCAUGCCUAACACAUGCAAGUCGAACGAGACCUUCGGGCCUAGUGGCGCACGUGUGCGUAACGCGUGGGAACCUGCCCUUAGGUUCGGAAUAACUCCCCGAAAGGGGUGCUCAUACCGGAUAAUGUCUUCGGACCAAAGAUUUAUCGCUUUUGGAUGGGCCCGCGUUGGAUUAGCUAGUUGGUAGUGUAAAAGCCUACCAAGGCGACGUUCCAUAGCUGGUCUGAGAGGAUGAUCAGCCACACUGGGAAUGAGACACGGCCCAGACUCCGACGGGAGGGAGGAGAGGGGAAUAUUGGAGAAUGGGGGAAAGCCUGAUCCAGCAAUGCGGGGGGAGUGAGGAAGGCGUUAGGGUUGUAAAGCUCUUUGACACGGGAUGAGAAUGACAGUAACGGGUGAAUAAGCUCCGGCUAACUACGUG
rnacentral:rRNA from 1 species